rnacentral:rRNA from 1 species
CCUACGGGUGGCAGCAGUGAGGAAUAUUGGUCAAUGGGCGUGAGCCUGAACCAGCCAAGCCGCGUGAGGGAAGAAGGUUCUGUGGAUCGUAAACCUCUUUUGUCAGGGAAUAAAGUGGGGGACUAGUCCCCUGUUGCAUGUACCUUAUGAAUAAGCAUCGGCUAACUCCGUGCCAGCAGCCGCGGUAAUACGGAGGAUACAAGCGUUAUCCGGAUUUGUUGGGUUUAAAGGGUGCGGAGGCGGCCUUGUAAGUCAGCGGGGAAAGCCCGGGGAUCAACCCUGGCAGCGCCGUUGAAACUGGGGGGCUGGAGUGUGGGAGAGGCAGGCGGAAUGCGUGGUGUAGCGGUGAAAUGCUUAGAUAGCACGCAGAACCCCGAUUGCGAAGGCAGCGUGCCGGGCCGAGACUGACGCUGAGGCACGAAAGCGUGGGGAUCAAACAGGAUUAGAUACCCGUGUAGUC